GAGUCGGACCUGCCCGGUGACCUACGGGUUAAACGGCCGCGGUACACUGACCGUGCAAAGGUAGCACAAUCACUUGCCCUUUAAUUAGAGGCUGGUAUGAAUGGUUUGACAAGGGUUGAGCUGUCUCUUUUGGAAUAUUUAAAAAUUAACUUCUAGGUGAAAAGGCCUAGAUUGAGCUGAGGGACGAGAAGACCCUGUUGAGCUUUAGUGUUGGGUAGAGAGUGGCAUUUCUAUUAUUAAUAGAAAGUUUAGAUUUACUUUUACAUCUUUAGUUGGGGUGACUAGGGAACAUGGAUAGCUUCUCUGUUGUUUGUUUAACUUAAUUUGGUGGACUGACUGGUGAUCCAGCAUUGUUGAUUAUCGGAAAAAGUUACCACAGGGAUAACAGCGUAAUCUUUCUGGAGAGUUCACAUUGAAAGAAGGGUUUGCGACCUCGAUGUUGGAUUAAGGUGUCCUGAGGGUGUAGCAGCUUUCGUUGGUUGGUCUGUUCGACCAUUAAAACCUU
rnacentral:rRNA from 1 species